AGGACGAACGCUGGCGGCGUGCUUAACACAUGCAAGUCGAGCGGUAAGGCCCUUUCCGGGGGUACACGAGCGGCGAACGGGUGAGUAACACGUGAGCAAUCUGCCCUUCACUUCGGGAUAAGCCUCGGAAACGGGGUCUAAUACCGGAUAUGACUGCGCCAUGCAUGUGGUGUGGUGGAAAGUUCUGGCGGUGAGGGAUGAGCUCGCGGCCUAUCAGU
rnacentral:rRNA from 1 species